AAAGUUCUGAGAACUUGUCCGCCAGACAGAUCUAGCUCCUGCUUGAGUCCGGAGCGUGGACAAGUGGCUGUGUCGGCCCAAUUCUAGCUUGGCCCUCAGUUUCCCUGUCAUGGCAGCCUCCUCCACCUCACACAGACCCAUCAAGGGGAUACUCAAAAACAAAAGUUCAUCAUCUUCAAUGGAGGAUUCUUCCGAGUCAUCUGGAAGACCAGGCACCCAGGAGUUGCAACGGAAGAAAUCGCAGAAGUGGGAUGAAUCCAACAUACUAGCAACCCACUAUCCAUCCUACAAAGACUAUGAUCUGAGGAAGAAGAAUGAGCCCGGCAAUCCCUUUGGCAGCGUGCCACAUGAUGGAGAAGACACCUUAAGUGAAAUUCAAGGAAAAGACGCCAUGACCUCUGACACCUUAGCGAAGAAACUCGCAGCCCCUGACACUUUGGGAACCAGUUAUCAGGGUGAGGAGCAAGAAAGCAGCGGUGCGCAUAGCAGCAAAUUCUUCCUGGACAAACAAGAAAGGCAACGGCAAUUUGAGUUGAAAAGGAAGUUACACUACAACGAAGGAUUAAACAUCAAAUUGGCCAGACAACUGAUAUCGGAGGAGCUACAAUCUGAAGUAGAGGAAGAUGAAAACCAACCAUGUCUACAUUCAAAUUAUUGAAGAAAAGACUACUACAGAAGAAGCUCCGACAAUUGAACAUCUAGAAAUUUACCAUCAAACACAUAUAAGAUCUGCUGUUGCCGCUGCCUUUGCCUCUGUUUUUGUCUAUACCACCACUGCUUCUUGCUUCUUAGAACCCAUGGCCUUAGUGUGACUCUACUUGUCCAUUUAACUGUUUAACAGUGUUUACUGGUCGUGCAGGAAUUAAAUGGUAAUCUUAGAAAAUAUUGAAUUGGCUUAAACACC